AUGCCCCGACCUCUUCCGCAGCUCCCAAGCCCCUCCUCGUCCCUCCUAGUCCACCGGAGCCCUCGGCCCCCUCCUCAUUUUGCCAGAGUUCGCCUCGGCCGCCGUGGUUCCUCCUUGGUUUCGGCGAGCUCGAGCGUCCUCUCCUCCUCUGGUGUUGUCCAAGAGCUCCCCCACCUCCUCACGGUUCGCCCCACCCCCUUUUCCCCUCGCCGGAGUGCCCGCAGUGCCGUCAACCUCCGCCUCCCGAAGCUUCCUGUCCUCCUCAUGGCGCCGCCCCUCCCCUCCGUUCCACCCCUUCCCGGUGCCCCAUUUGCCUCUGGAUGGGUUCUCCCGGCCUCCCCGAAUCUUCCGGUGGCCUCUCCUAGGACAAUGGUGGCCGGAGCCGGCCGGACCACCACCGCCCCGCCCGCCUCUGUUGCUUCCUGCCGUCGCGCCUCGCCACCCCUACACUCCUCCCCGGCGCUCCCUAUGCCCUGGGAUGGAGGUGGAGCAUUCCCCCGAACCCGCCGGAAGCCUCCGCCAGGCAGGAGCUGGCCGGAGUCAGCCGCCCCGUCGCCGGCUUCGCCCUGCUCCCGCUCCUCUGUUCUGCUGCUGCGUGGGCACGCGAGGAAGAAGACAGGAGCGAGGGAGGAGAGAGAUGGAUAA
rnacentral:rRNA from 1 species